ensembl:lncRNA
UUUUUACAGAUGCAGGUUACAGUCCAGAAUUGUGUAGGGUUCUGGAGACCUUUAAUCUUCCCAAUUGCCAGGCUGAUGAGCAGGCUUUGUGCCAGCAGUUUGACCAACCAGAUCAGAACAGGAAGUGGAGAGAGGGCAUCAUCAAGUCCAGUUUCAACUACCUGCUGCUUGAUCCAAGAUUAAGCUUCUGGAUUCAUCGCCGGUGAUACUGACACAUAGCCAGUGCUCCUGUGUGGCAGGCGCUGUUAUGUGCAAUCACACAGUGGCACUGCUCUUCCAAACAGCACACUACUCACAACUCAGAGUGCCAGUUGUCCCCCCUGUGCAUAGCUGCACGGAAUCUGAACAGCAAUGGCACAAGCCACGGACAGUGGGUGUGAAGCCAGGACCCAUCAACUCCAUGAUCUUCACUAAGCCGGUACCAAAUAGAAUGGCCCAGACUGGAGUACGGAGUGGCUUCUACAGAGGCAUGGUGGGUCCGUUACCAGAUCCCUGCUUGUUCAGAAUAACGGAGGCAUAU